rnacentral:lncRNA from 1 species
AGUGGGGAACUUGUUGCUGGUGUAGCAGAUGAGCAUGCAGGUCUUGCCCACGGCGCCGUCGCCGACCGUGACGCACUUGAUGAACCGGGAGGCGCUGGACGCCAUGGCCGCGCGCGCCUCACCCCGAUUCUCCGAGCCCAGAGUAGGGGAGAACCGGGAGAGGAGCGGGGGGAGGAGACGGUACGGGAGAGGAGGGGGAGGGAGGGACGGACUGCGUUCUCGCCUUCUUGGUGGCGUUUGGUGCGUGACUUGUUGGCGGAUAGAGUGAAGAGAGUCACAUGC